AUUGAACGCUGGCGGCAGGCUUAACACAUGCAAGUCGAGCGAGCGGCGGACGGGUGAGUAAUGUCUGGGCAACUGCCUGAUGGAGGGGGAUAACUACUGGAAACGGUAGCUAAUACCGCAUACCAUCAGAUGUGCCCAGAUGGGAUUAGCUAGUGGGUGGGGUAAUGGCUCACCUAGGCGACGCUCCCUAGCUGGUCUGAGAGGAUGACCGGCCACACUGGAACGGAGACGCGGUCCAGACGCCUACGGGAGGCAGCAGUGGGGAAUAUUGGACAAUGGGCGCAAGCCUGAUGCAGCCAUGCCGCGUGUGUGAAGAAGGCCUUCGGGUUGUAAAGCACUUUCAUCGAGGAGGCGUUACUCGCAGAGGAAGCACCGGCUAACUCCGUGCCAGCAGCCGCGGUAAUAC
rnacentral:rRNA from 1 species